rnacentral:misc_RNA from 1 species
CCAAUAGCGUAUAUUAAAGUUGUUGCAGUUAAAAAGCUCGUAGUUGAAUUUCAGGCCUGGCUGGACGGUCCGCCCUUCGGGUGAGUACUGUCUGUGGUCGGGUCCUACCUUCUGGCGAAGCGUCAUGGCCUUAACCGGCCGUGGCGGGGAACCAGGACUUUUACUGUGAAAAAAUUAGAGUGUUCAAAGCAGGCAAUCGCUUGGAUACAUUAGCAUGGAAUAAUGGAAUAGGACAAUGGUUCUAUUUGUUGGUUUCUAGGACCGUUGUAAUGAUUAAUAGGGUUAGUUGGGGGCAUUAGUAUUCAAUUGUCAGAGGUGAAAUUCUUGGAUUUAUUGAAGACUAACUACUGCGAAAGCAUUUGCCAAGGAUGUUUUCAUUAAUCAAGAACGAAAGUUAGGGGAUCGAAGACGAUCAGAUACCGUCGUAGUCUUAACCAUAAACUAUGCCGACUAGGAAUCGGGCGAUGUUGAAAAAAUGACGCGCUCGGCACCUCAUG